rnacentral:rRNA from 1 species
AGUGAACGCUGGCGGCAGGCCUAACACAUGCAAGUCGAGCGGCAGCGGGUCCUUCGGGAUGCCGGCGAGCGGCGGACGGGUGAGGAAUGCAUCGGAAUCUGCCCUGUCGUGGGGGACAACCUAGGGAAACUUAGGCUAAUACCGCAUACGACCCACGGGUGAAAGCGGGGGAUCGCAAGACCUCGCGCGAUAGGAUGAGCCGAUGUCCGAUUAGCCAGUUGGCGGGGUAAAGGCCCACCAAGGCGACGAUCGGUAGCUGGUCUGAGAGGAUGAUCAGCCACACUGGGACUGAGACACGCCCCAGACUCCUACGGGAGGCAGCAGUGGGGAAUAUUGGACAAUGGGGGAAAGCCUGAUCCAGCCAUGCCGCGUGGGUGAAGAAGGCCUUCGGGUUGUAAAGCCCUUUUGUCCGGGAAGAAAUCGUCUGGGCUAAUACCCCGGGCGGAUGACGGUACCGGAAGAAUAAGCACCGGCUAACUUCGUG